GAAUUUCUGGGAUGGCAAAAACCUCUUUCUUCAGCUGCCUCAGGGUGGGAUAUCCGUUCAAUACGUCAGGAUUCACCAUCGUUUCAGCAACGUCCUAUUUUGCCAACGCCAAAUCGGCAUAAGUUAAUUGGGGCCCAGCAAUCCACUGACCGCCUGCUUCUUCUAAAAGCUCAGCAAACUUCGUAAAGUAUUUUGGAAAGUAAUCUUCUACCAAAUGCUUCCUCAUCCGAGCCUUCUUAACAAUGCUUUGCUCUUUGUGGAAAUCUCGGAAAACUAGAAAUCGUAGAAAAUAAAAUUUAGGAUUAUCUGUCAAAUCCGAUUAAUAAAGAUGAUUUGAUUAGCAUAAA